ncrna:unclassified sequences pemK RNA
CUAACGAUACUUCUGUAACUCGCAGCCUGGCCACAAAGAAGGCGGGGAGGUUCGAUUCCUAUGG